GGAGGAGCCAUUUGUCGCUUCCGCCAGGAGGGACGAACUCUGGACACAAGACUUCCCAAAAUAAAGACUACAUUUCCCAGGCUCCCUUGAAGCUGAGCAUAGCCAUGUGACUAAGUCCUGACUAAUGGGGUGUAAGCAGAAACAGCCUCCAGGAAAUGUCCUUCAAGGGAAGGGGCGCAUCGUCCUUUACCCUUUCCUCCUUCCUGUUGACUGGAAUGCAGAAGUGAUGGCUGAAGCUCAAGCAGCCAUCAUGAACCACGAAGAGAAAGCCACUUGCCAAAGAUGCCACAAAAUACAAGGUACCUGGGUGGAGUCCCUGACACUGUAGAGCACCAGGGCAGCCUGGGACCUCCUACUCCAGGUUUUACAUCAAAGAGGAAUAAACUCCUGUUUUGCUUAAA